AUCAAGUAAACAGUGACAAGAAACAGUAUACCCAUAACUAUAACAACAUAAAUGGAAAGAACCUUGUAUUUUGCAAGAAAUAAAGAAAGAAAGAAAGAAAGAAAGAAAGAAAGAAAGAAAGAAAGAAAGAAAUACAGAAAGAAAGAAAGAAAGAAAGAAAGAAAGAAAGAAAGAAAGAAAGAAAGAAAGAAAGAAAGAAAGAAAGAAAGAAAGAAAGAAAGAACAGAGGGAGGGAGGGAGGGAAGGAAGGAAGGAAGGAAGGAAGGAAGGAAGGAAGAGAAAGGAAGGAAGGAAGAAAGAAAGAAAGGAAGAAAGGAAGAAAGGAAGAAAGAAAGAAAGAAAGAAAGAAAGAAAGAAAGAAAGAAAGAAAGAAAGAAAGAAAGAAAGAAAGAAAGAAAGAAAGAAAGAAAGAAAGAAAGAGAAAAAGACUCUGACCGAGGAUAA
rnacentral:lncRNA from 1 species